rnacentral:rRNA from 1 species
CCCAGACUCCUACGGGAGGCAGCAGUGGGGAAUAUUGCACAAUGGGGGAAACCCUGAUGCAGCGACGCCGCGUGAGUGAAGAAGUAUUUCGGUAUGUAAAGCCCUAUCAGCAGGGAAGAAAAUGACGGUACCUGAUUAAGAAGCCCCGGCUAACUACGUGCCAGCAGCCGCGGUAAUACGUAGGGGGCAAGCGUUAUCCGGAUUUACUGGGUGUAAAGGGAGCGUAGACGGUGAUGCAAGUCAGAAGUGAAAGCCCGGGGCUCAACUCCGGGACUGCUUUUGAAACUGUGUGACUGGAGUGCAGGAGAGGUAAGCGGAAUUCCUGGUGUAGCGGUGAAAUGCGUAGAUAUCAGGAGGAACACCAGUGGCGAAGGCGGCUUACUGGACUGUAACUGACGUUGAGGCUCGAAAGCGUGGGGAGCAAACAGGAUUAGAUACCCCAGUAA